UCACAGCAUAACUACUUAGACGAAUAAUAAAAACAACUGUUUAAAAUUCAAAAACUUUGGCGGUACUUUAUAUAAUUAGGGGAACCUGCUACUUAAUACGAUAACCCACGACAUAUAACCCAUUUUUAGUAUAUCAGUCUGUGUACUGCUGUCAUAAAUAAACCUAUAAAAGUAAGUUUAUAUAAAUAAUAAAAUUUAUACAUGUCAAGUCAAAGUGCAGCUUAUAAAAUGGGGUAAGUGGGUUACAAUCUCUAUACAGAAAUGAAUAAUAGAAUCUAUACCUAUUUGAAAGUGGACUUAACAGUAAUGAUCUUAACCUCAUAAACCAUUUCCUAAAGUAUGCACACAUCGCCCGUCACUCUUGUCCAAAGACC
rnacentral:rRNA from 1 species